AGACAACUACAAGGAGUUGAUGGAAAGAAAAGAAGCCUUCUUCAAGGAUGAAGACAUCUGGCACAUGGCAGUUGCAAGGAGAAAGACCUCACCUUGUACCACAACAUAUGACGGAAGCAAACCAAAGAAAAAAAGAAUUACUGCAACUUCCAGUCUCACUUCAGAUGAAGAUGAAACACAGAUUGACCCAUCACAAGUUCUUCAAACAAAUAUACAGUUAUUGCUGAAUUUCCAGGAACAACUGUGUCUGAUGUGAGAGCAGUGAUUCGGAGAAAAUGUAACAAUGAGAAUUUUGUGACCAAAAAGAAACAGUAAGCAGUAACAUCAGUAACUGAUUGUAAUAGUUUUUGUUUGUUUAUUUUUUGGUGGACAUACAUUUUGAGUUUACACAAACUGUGUCAAUGUUUCAAAAGUCAGUUUAAUGUUCAUUUCUGUCAUUACUAGCUUCUCUGCGGUGCACAGCUAGCACAUCUAUUGUUUCUUCUGAAGAUCA